CAUUUGGUUUGCUAAACAAUUUUAUCCCACUAUAAAAAUAUUUUUUUUGAAAAACUGAUAUCUGAAUAUAUGAUACUUGAUAAAAUAAUUUUUAUAUAUUUGAUUGACUAUGAGAAGAUAACAUAAGGAACAUACUAUCCGAAAUAACUUAUAUUUGAUUGAGCAUCUACUUUUCUAGCAAAGAUGUAUAAUAUACCUAUUAUGCCCCU
rnacentral:lncRNA from 1 species